rnacentral:rRNA from 1 species
CCUACGGGUGGCAGCAGUGAGGAAUAUUGGUCAAUGGACGCAAGUCUGAACCAGCCAUGCCGCGUGCAGGAAGACGGCUCUAUGAGUUGUAAACUGCUUUUGUACGAGGGUAAACGCAGAUACGUGUAUCUGUCUGAAAGUAUCGUACGAAUAAGGAUCGGCUAACUCCGUGCCAGCAGCCGCGGUAAUACGGAGGAUUCAAGCGUUAUCCGGAUUUAUUGGGUUUAAAGGGUGCGUAGGCGGUCUGUUAAGUCAGAGGUGAAAUCCCGUGGCUCAACUUCGGAAUUGCCUCUGAUACUGUGCGGCUUGAGAAUAGUUGAGGUAGGCGGAAUGUAGGGUGUAGCGGUGAAAUGCUUAGAGAUCAUACAGAACACCGAUUGCGAAGGCAGCUUGCCAAGCUACUUCUGACGUUGAGGCACGAAAGCGUGGGGAGCAAACAGGAUUAGAUACCCCUGUAGUC